rnacentral:rRNA from 1 species
GACGAACGCUGGCGGCGUGCCUAAUACAUGCAAGUCGAGCGGGGUUACUACGUCAGAUUCCUUCGGGAAGACGAUGUUUUAACCUAGCGGCGGACGGGUGAGUAACGCGUGGGUAACCUGCCCUAGAGACCGGGAUAACAACGGGAAACCGUUGCUAAUACCGGAUGCCUUUACAGGGAGGCAUCUUUCUGUAAAGAAAGCAUAAGCGCUCUAGGAUGGGCCCGCGUCCCAUUAGCUAGUUGGUGAGGUAACAGCUCACCAAGGCGACGAUGGGUAGCCGGCCUGAGAGGGUGACCGGCCACACUGGGACUGAGACACGGCCCAGACUCCUACGGGAGGCAGCAGUAGGGAAUAUUGCGCAAUGGGCGAAAGCCUGACGCAGCGACGCCGCGUGAGUGAUGAAGGCCUUCGGGUCGUAAAACUCUGUCCUCAGGGAAGAAAAUUUGACGGUACCUGAGGAGGAAGCCCCGGCUAACUACGUGCCAGCAGCCGCGGUAAUACGUAGGGGGCGAGCGUUGUCCGGAAUUAUGG